GUUGGUUGCUGUGUGAAGAAGAGUCAGUGCUCUGAGGAGUAACCCAUGAGAAAACACUAAGAAGCAUCACUUCAGAGUGGAAGCUGCUUUCACGGUUGCUGAGUAUAGGAAGUGAGAGAAAGAAAGAGAAAUAAUGGCUAGCUAUAUGCAACAACAUGAAUUUAAGAAAGUGACAGAAAACCCAAAAGACAAGAAAAUUAUGGUAAAGUACUGUAGGAUAAAUAGAUCUAUUUAAGUAUCUCCUUAGGUAUGGAAGAUGCAGGACCUGCCUGUAGCACCUUUCAGAAGGAAUUUUAUUUCAGGCAAAAUAAAUCCUCUUCUAAGUUUUGAGCUACAACUUAUCUACCAACUUCCUUCCUUCCGCCACUUCCUUCCGCCACUUCCUUCCUCUCACUUUUUCUUCAGAGAACCUAAUACCAGAAGCAAUGAGAAGACACUCCUAGCUUAUCCACACUGUCCAUCUGCAAUGUCAAAUGCCUUGAAAUUUGUCAAAGACAAAUUCAAACACAUGAAAAGUCACCAAAAUCUCUGGGGGAAAAAAUAAAAGGAAAGAAAAAAAAAAUGGUCAGUGGUACGACACCAAAACAUUUGCUGACUAUUCUGUAUCUUUGAACAAAAAUUAUAGGCCCUUUUUUUUUUAUUUGGAUCACUCUUCAGAAGUAGAAGUAUCUAUUUCAUCACAAUCUCAGUUAAAGGUAAUAGAAAUCAAGAUUAAUUUAAUUAUGUGCAUUACCAUGCCAGUCUUCAGUUUUAUUUUUGAAACACUACUCCCAGCUAUUAUUUAAAAAUAUUAGAAAUGACACAAUUACAAGACAAAUAAACUUGCAAUAUAAUGGGAUUCCUGAAACAAUAGAUAUAUCUAAAUGUCAAACCCACAAAUUCUUUUUUUGCUAUGA